rnacentral:rRNA from 1 species
CCUACGGGUGGCAGCAGUGGGGAAUGUUGGACAAUGGGCGCAAGCCUGAUCCAGCUAUUCCGCGUGUGGGAUGACGGCCCUCGGGUUGUAAACCACUUUAGUAGAGAACGAAAAGGAGCGAGCGAAGAAAUAGCUCUGCUGACGGUACUCUAAGAAUAAGCACCGGCUAACUACGUGCCAGCAGCCGCGGUAAUACGUAGGGUGCGAGCGUUAAUCGGAAUUACUGGGCGAAAAGGGUGUGCAGGCGGCUGAGUAAGACAGAGGUGAAAUCCCCGGGCUUAACCUGGGAACCGCAUAUGUGACUGCUUAGCUAGAUUGCGUCAGAGGGAGGUGGAAUUCCACGUGUAGCUGUGAAAUGCGUAGAUAUGUGGAAGAACACCGCUGGCGCAGGCAGCCUCCUGGGACGCAACUGACGCUCCUCCAC